GAACCCGGCUUGGCUCUCUUACUGCGCGCGCCUCACGCGCUUUUCUGGGGCCCCUCCCUCACAUUUCGCGGCUCUCCCUCCGCUGCUUUUUCGGCUCCCUGGGGUUCCCCCACUCACGUUUCGGUGUCCCCUUCUCACAUUUUAGUGGUGUCCCCCAGUUCACGGGUUGGAGGGCAGGGCGGUUACCCAAGAAGGGUUGUUUUUCUCUUAGAUUUCACUUUUCAUUUUAUUGCCUUUUUAGUUUGCUCGCUUUUAUUUUUUUUCUUUAAUUUUCUUUCGUAUUUUAUAUUUCCUUCUUUAUUUCAGGGGAAAUGGCCUUACAAUGAGACUGGGGAAAUUCGGAUUAGAGAUUCGGAAAAAAUUGGGUGGUCACGCAUUGGAAUAGGUUACCCAGGGAGGUGGUGGAGUCCUCGUUGCUGCAGGUGUUCAAGAGGUGUCCGGAUCUGGCGCAGGGUGACGGCUUAGGGGUUACAGUGGCAGUGUUUGGCAACAGUUGGAUUGUGAUGCCAAAAAAUCCGGUCUGAAGAACUGCUCAGAGACUUUUGUAUCUUUAAGCAGCAAGGUAUUUGUUUAUUUAACGUUGGGAACAAGCCCGGUCCUGCUUAAUUACUCAUAAUUAAUUACUCAUAAUUAUUUAAUUACUUAUUUACUCAUAAUCUGCACUCUUUUGAUUAUGGCCACGAGGUCACAGCAGCAGUCCCCUGGCCCGAAGCACCAGGGGUGCUCCACGAAGCUCCACGUGCUGGCCCUCAAGCGUCCACAGCCAUUGUGGUGCAGCAUGGCAUUUCCACACCAGGAAGGACUCUGUUCCCGGUGGAGAAUUAAACAAGGAAACACAUUGAUCCUUCCUCUCUCAAAUGGAGAGAUCAAUCAACUAUUACAAAAACAUUAUAAGCACUCUGACAGAAAUUCUUACCCAGACAUCCCUCCUCGAUUCAUCCCAUGGCCUGGUCCUGACUGACCAGGCAUGCUUCUAUCACCACCUAAUUUAAAAAGAAAAAAAAGAAAAAAUACAGGCUUUUGUGUUUUCCUAAUAAAAAAGUCACCUUGUUCCCAGAAUUUCAUUUGCUUUCUCAGUAAUUUAACUACCACUAGAAGUUCAGCAGCAGUAAUUCACAGAAAAAACCACAAUCACACUGGUAAGCAGCAAGUGUACCUUGCCAUCUCUCAUGAUCCCGUCCCAUCAUUCCUCCAUCCACAUUUCCCUGCCAUGUACGAUCUUGAUGCCCCUCUAACUUUCGACCAUGAUCUCCCCAGUCACGUCCAUCUCUUAAAAAAAUAAAAGAACAUCUUCUAGGUAUGUCCCCUAUCCAUUUAGCAGCAUAGGGUAAAGCCAAACACCAUACCCCAUACAAAAGUGUGUUAAAUGGUUAAUCAAGCUGUAGCUAUAGCCACCCAAUCAUCACAAUAAAAACUGGUCAAAGUGGAACAAUGAGAAACUUGCUGAACAGCAUCCUUCACACAACAAAACUUGUCUUUCUGACCUAUAGAGACAUCACUGAUACUGCAGUGGACUGAAAUACUUAGACAUGGAACAAUUCAUUGGCUGCCAUUUCUCCGUCCGGUGUACUUAGGCAGAACUGAACAUUAUGCAUCUGGAACAUGCCCAGCUUGACCAACCGGUUUAAAGAGAAACCACUAUGAUUCUACAUGAGUCAGUCCUCCACCCCCACCACUGCAGAGACUCUCACUCAAUUUCCUUAAAACCUGACCACUAGCCAUAAAUGAGACUUUUGCAGGCCUUACUGGAGCAUCUGGUAUGUGACUAAAUCUCACCUGUAGACAUGAAAGUUAUUUACAUGAGAAUCACAGCUAUAAGCUAACUGAGCAGCAUUUCUUUAUUCACUACAAUGCUCCAUUCUCCUGAUGCGUGUGGGAGCUACACAUGUGAAUUUCUUGCUCCUCCAGGUGCUCAAAGAAACUGCCUGGAGAAAGGAUUCACACUUGUCAAACUGCUUCCGCUGUCAUCCUUCAAAGGUUCACUGAGCACUAAAAUUUUAACUACAAUCCCUUCCCUUAUUUCACAAGCACUAACCGGGUUUGUGGGGGUAUCCCUCUCCCUUCAUUCAUUCUUCUGUCAGACCCAUAGCCACCCCAACUAUCCCGGGAGUGACGAUCAGGCCCUCCAUGGCGUUCAUCCGGGUAAUGCUGAAAGGCAAAUGGUACUCAGUUAUGCUAAGAAUCAACAUGGGUUUUCUUUUCUGAUUGCAAAAAUUCAGCUUCUUGGACGUUGCCUUCCUAUCAGCUGUCAAAAAACAAAAUGGUAGCAAACUCAUUUUUUUAACUGGUUCCACUGUUGCUACUGUGCAGGGUUCACUCUAGGCAUUUAUUUUGUUUCACAGCUCAUAUUCUGCUCUGCUCUCUGGUGGGAGAAGUCUGUUUGUUAAGGUUUUUUAAGGCUUACAUUCUGGCUCCAGAUUGUUAAUUUUUACAUAGAUUAUCUGCCUACUUCCCACCUCUCUUCAGAAGUGAAAGGUUUUGAAUACCUUUGUGGUAUCGGUUUUCACACCUGUCCUUUUAUCUGUCCAAGUCAUCUGCCUUGUUUCAUUAUGGCACUAGUUAUUUUCUAAAAACCAUUCAGAUAAAUGUGACAGAAGGGAUCCUUCACCAGCUAAGAAACUACAGCAACUACCUCUUAACACCUAAGAUGGUUAACCAGAAAACUUUUAUUGCAACAUACCAGCCUGAAAGGAUGCUGUACCGUAGCUCCCAUCGCUCGGAGGUUUCCCCCUGCCCGUAUCUGUGGCUACCACCCUAGCAAGCAGAUAACAUAGUAACUUACUUUACGCACAUUAGCGUACAAAAUUAGUUGCUGCUUGAACAUCUGCUCAGUUUAAACCCAGUGGUGACUGCGUUUAAGAACUAGGCUGCACGAGCACUGUGUUCUUUCUGCUUUGGGGUCAGCUUGAUUGGCUUUUUCACAGAAGUGGUUAUUUGGUUCUAACGCACCUGCCCAUCUCGAUCUGGUAUUCCUCUUGUACAUUCUCUUCUGGAACAAAAAAGGGCAGUUUCAGUUUAAUCAACACAGUAAUCAUAAUUCCAGUGUCUGCAUGAAAUAGCGCACAAAAAUUUAUCUUCAUUAGGCUGUAAAUCUGGAUGCCAACGUUUCUUUAGUGGCAAGAUACUCAAAGGAGUUGCUUCAUAGCAUAAAAAGAGAUGAAAGUAGCAUCUAUCACUGUAACAUGGGCAAGCAAAGCAUCACUGAGGCAUGGUCAUGUACUCAGUGAUACCCACAGAGAAUACUGAGUGAACCUACCAGUAUCAGAAAUGAGUUACAAGGCAAAAACAAAGUAGUAUGGCUUUCACCAAAGAUCCUUUGAGAGCAAAACAGAAGUCUCAAUGGCACUAUGCAGAAAACAUGUUUCCAUUCUGUGGAGCUAAAAAUCUGCAUUAGCCAGGCUGCAAAGAUGAAAAUACAGAAAGUUUUAAAGCAAAAGACUAAGUCUUAGGCUGAGGAACAGGGAUUCACAAACCAGACUUGCAUACAUCGCGAGAAGCUGUAGUAUCUCCAUUAGCAUCAUGGCAGACUACAUUAGGACUUGGUUUACAAUCUUUAUGCAGCCUCUUUCUGGUAUGUCCAUAACCCAUGAAAACAAAGGAUUGCAAGCACAUACGAAAUUAGACAUGAGAAAUGCACAAGGGUCAUUUGUUUUACUCUUCUGACACCCUUCAAGCCACUAGGUAAGCCACAAAAAGACACUAGAUUUCCAUAAAGGUUUAGGAAGAAAAGAUACUGCCUUGCCAACCUGUCCAAACAAUGAUCUUGGUAUCGUCCACGAUCCCUGUGGUCAAAGUCGUGGAAUCGGUCUUGACGACUAAAUUCAGAAUGAUAUCUAUCAUCUAUUGCCAUUCGCUUCGCCUCUGGCCAGUACGGGUCAUCUCGCCUGCAAAGGUGGUCACCAUUAGUAGUAAUCGCAAAACGAUCAUCCCUUUCCUGCUCUCUUGAUAUCAAACCUAGCCAAAUACCUAAACUAUUACUUUUUAUUUCUAAUUAAAAACCUAUGUGCAUUAAGAAGGAAUCACAUUUUGGUUUCAGAGAAAACCAGGUGUACUGACACUAUACACAAAGCUUAAUUUCAGCACAGUGCUGAUGUGAGAAUGAGUAUCUGUUCCCACUAGCAAUCCUGCUUUAGAGUUGAUACAGUUACUAUCCUUGGUCACUCUCUGAGAAAUAAGAAUAAACCUCCUGUAAUAAAACACUGCUUACAAGUAUACAAGCACAACAUUUCUCCUCUUCAAGAUUGCUAUAAAGUGUUAAAAGCUACAUGUAAAUAGUCCUUCAGCUGUGAGCUUCUGUGGCUGCUUUAUCAAGAGUACUCUGAAGAGUUUGGAAUGUCACUGCCAUUAUUACCUGCCAUCAGGAUCAUAAGGCCUUCUCAUGGCAGAUCGCCGUUCCUGUUCAUAACGGAGUUGCUCCUGCUGACGUCGCAGCUCUUCCCUCUCUCUCUGGAUUCGCUCCUGUUCUCGUCUCCUUUCCUGCUCUAUGUGCAUUCUUUCUCUCUCCAACCUCUCUCUCUCCAAGCGCUCUCUGUCAAGACGCUGCCUUUGAAAUUCCAGUCGUUCUCGUUCUCUCUGGAGCCUCUGUCUUUCAUCCCGUUCAUGAAUAGCUUGAAGACGUUGCUCUCGAUCUCGCCUCUCUCUUUCUCUAAUUUAAAAAAGAUACUUUGUUUUAAAUUGAGAAUCUUAAGUCUAAGCUUUACUGCUUCUUUGUUUUGGAUGGGGUUUCUUGUUUGCUUUUGCUCUUUCCUUUGUAAAGUUUCUGUGUUCUUACCACUAGCUGCUUAAACUCGAAUUAUCUCUUCCCAAUUAAAUAACAGCAGCUUAGAUUACGGGAAAGUAAAAAAGUCCACAUGAAAAAAGCAAAGAUGAGCAUUUGAAAAGCGUCUAAGAAACACAAUAUCUACUCUAAGACAGGUCUGAAAAGGCUUUCAUAGAGAGCAUGUCCUAAGACAUAAGUCUGACAAACAAAAAGUAUUUACAAGAUUACAGGGAAAAACCAAGUAUGGAAAUUCAAAUCUGACCAAGCAGAACACAAAACCUACAAAAGUCUCCUGAAACACACAGGCCGAGAACAUUGAUUUCAAUUGUAAAACCCUUCAUUGUUUGGUAUUAUGUCUGUUUUACCAAGAGAUUAAUAUCAAAUCAAUCUGAGAUACCACUCUUGGAGGGUCAGCACAACACUACUUUGCAAGCCUGUUCAAAACACAAAACACAUAAGGGAGGUAAAAAGAAAUACCACUCAAAGUUUAGAGCAAAACUGGGAAGACUCACCGGCGUCUUUCCGUUUCCCUGAUUUCUCGCUCCCUCUGUCUCUGACGUUCACGUUCUCGCUGUUCUUUGAUUUUAUCAAACGAUAAAAUAUCUUGCUUUUCUUUGCUCUCAGAUUUGCGAUCCUGGCUUUUUGUACUCUGAGUUGAAUCAAAACAAUACAUUAGCUGAACACAGUGCGUUUUUAGCCAAAAUUCCUAGGUAAAUGCCUACUUUAUAUCAACCUGAACAAAACAGACUAUCAUACCUUACAAGAGGCAAACAAUGUUGGAAUGCCAGGAAAAAGCAGGCGAGGGAAAAGUAUCCCAAAUUUGGCUAAAACUUCUCAAGCAUUUAAAUACAUAUCAAUACUAGGAGCACAUGACCUGACUUGCACUAAUGGCAAAUAAUACAAUACUUUUAUGGUCAUCAGUAACUGUAUUUCAAACCUGGGGAAAGACAUCCUAACAACAUUUUCAUAUUGCAAUUCUACUUCUUCAACUAGGACAGCAGUGCAAAACUAUAAAGAAGGUGAAACAGAAACAUUUACCCUUUGCCACACCAUUAACACCCUAAUGCUUUCCAGAAACUGAUAAAAGGAUGAAUGUACCAAUAUGCAAGGCAAAAACCCCUUCGACUAUAAGCGUAUAAAGCUAUCUGACACCUAUUUUUACACAAAAGCUUCUCUGAAAGUUGGACUUACCCUCUCUUUUGAUGCAGAGGUUUUUACACUAAUAACUGGCUCUCCUUUAGAUUUAUCCAUUACGACUGUCCUUUCGGUUCCUCGACUCGCUAGAAAACCAAAUAUAUCGAAAAAUAAAUAAUACACAAAACAUUCAACAAUUCAUGCAAGAUUUAAAACUGUGAAGACACUAAACAGUAAAAAGUUAUUGUAUUGAGGUUUUCAAUUACUUACGGAACUUAUUUAUGAUUUAAAUAGCUUACCAAGAUUUGGCCAAGUUGAGGAUGGGGGCAGUAAAGCUACCACAAAAUUACAGUAGUAUUUUCUGGCAGGGAUGACAAAGAAAGCAAAUUUAAUUUAAUUCUCCUGUCUGCAAAAUACAUCCCUUUGCCACAGUUUAAAAAAAAAAAAAGGGGCACAUAGAACUACCCACUGUGUUGGGUCUAAAUCCAGUGAUAGUUCCAUAAAACUCACAGUUUAACGUUUGGAGUAGUUAAAGUCCAGUAAUUAUGAAAGAAUGCCAGUAACUUACAGCAAAGUUAAGUCAAAGUUUUCAAGGUAUUUUCUGAUGUUGGUUUUUGUACACUAAGAAAACCUCAGUCUUACUAAGCUUCGUGGUCUUUUUACCGAAUUAGCAAUCACAUCUAAUAAGAACACUGAGGUUUGCAGAAGCUGAAGUCUAUGAAUCAGUUGCAAAUUCUGAACGUUUAUACUUGUUCUUCCAUUUCCUAUCAAGCUGGAAAAGGAAAUCUUUUCGGAUGUAAAGUAAAAGUUUUGUCACGGCCACCAUAUUCUUCGCACCAAUUUUUAAUUGUUUUUUUCUGAAACAAGUGUCUUUGAAAACAUUUCUGAAAGACAGCUAGCAUUACCCGAUUUGCUUGCCCUAGAUCUAUCAGAAGAUCCAGCCUUUUGUUCCUCUUUCUCUUUUCCUUCUUUUUCAUCUUUUUCUGAUUUCUUAGCAUCAUCUUUUCUGUCAGUCUUCUCUUCCUUCUUAAUACCAACAGAUCUACAAAAAGAAAAAUGCCUCUUUCAAAAGCAAUAAACCACUUGAAAAACAAAUAUUUGAAGUAUCACUUGCUAACCACACCAACAGUCUAUCAAGAAGACAGACUAAAUCAUAGAAAUAUUUGUCAGUUAAAAGAGGAGACCAAGCAGGAGUCAGAUCAGAGGACAAGUGACUGAUAAAAAUAAGGGUUUAUCUAGAAAGGAGCUGAUUUAGUAUCUCCUAAUAUAACAAAUUUUGAUACUAACCCUAAAGAGCUUUGUAUUUCUGAGCAGAGGGCCAAUUAAGAUGGCCUUGCUGCUGAAGAACAUCAAUUUCAAGUUUUCAAGUAUUACUCCUAUUUCAGAUGCAAUAUGAAAAUCAAGAUUUAUCACAGUUACUGUUCAUCUUGGUCACAUGCCUGUAUUUCAAAUGAGUGGUCUUUAAAUGUAGAAAAAUACAAAACAGCACUUUACUUCUCAGAUUUGGACUCUGCAGAAUGGUGCCUGUCUUUUUCCUUCCUUGUUUCACCUUCCUUUUUGUCUGAAGGCUUUUUUCCAGCUGGUUCAUUUUUUGCCUAGAAAUUUAGCCAGAAAUAAUUUUAUAGUGAGAGACAGACAUUAAAGUUGCAUUCUUUUAUUUUUAUUACACUGUCAUGAAAUAACUACCACUUACCUUUUCCACAGAAAUCAUUUUGCCAUGCAGUUCUGUUCUGUGGAGAUGAUUAAUACACUUAGUGGCUUCCUCAGAUGUUGACAUUGUUACAAAGCCGUAGCAGCGAGCACCAGGACUGCGAGCAUUUGUCACUACUUUUGCACCGACCACCUUUGUGGGGGAAAUAAAAAAAAAAAAAAAAACAAACCAAAAA